rnacentral:tRNA from 1 species
GCCGUGGUGGCGAAAUUGGUAGACGCGCACGCUUGAGGGGCGUGUGGGAGCAAUCCUGUGGAGGUUCGAGUCCUCUCCACGGCA